UUUCCUUGUUUGAAAUACGUAAACAGGACUUCAAGACCAUGUGCACAAAAUGAGCUCCCAGGAUGGAUGAGCACGCAUCUGCUAGGCUCUGGACAGGUCACAGCAGAGCCCUUCUCCCUGCUCACCGCCCAGCACACUCUCAUCUCACCGAAAAUCAAAGGAAAUCCGAGCAAUAACAGCAGCUCAUGCCACACUACUCAGGCAAACUUCUCAGUGCCAAUUACUUGGAGGAAAAACAAAAUCAUGCCUGUGCCUCUGGAUG
ensembl:lncRNA